UACGUAGGGGGCUAGCGUUGUCCGGAAUCAUUGGGCGUAAAGCGCGUGUAGGCGGCCCGGUAAGUCCGCUGUGAAAGUCGGGGGCUCAACCCUCGGAUGCCGGUGGAUACUGUCGGGCUAGAGUGCGGAAGAGGCGAGUGGAAUUCCUGGUGUAGCGGUGAAAUGCGUAGAUAUCAGGAGGAACACCGGUGGCGAAGGCGGCCCUCUGGACGGAUACUGACGCUGAGACGCGACAGCGUGGGGAGCAAACAGG
rnacentral:rRNA from 1 species